rnacentral:misc_RNA from 1 species
UGCGGAAGGAUCAUUAGUGAUUGACCUCCGGGUCUUAACAACUAUAAUCUUCUACCUCUGUGAACCGUUGGUCUUCGGACCGAUUCUUAUAACAAACAUCUGUGUAAUGAACGUAACCUAUAUUAAUCAUAUAAAACUUUUAACAACGGAUCUCUUGGCUCUCGCAUCGAUGAAGAACGCAGCGAAAUGCGAUAAGUAAUGUGAAUUGCAGAAUUCAGUGAAUCAUCGAAUCUUUGAACGCACCUUGCGCCUUUUGGUAUUCCGAAAGGCAUGCCUGUUUGAGUGUCAUGAAAUAUCAACCCCUCCUGGUUUCUGAUCAGUGUUGGGCUUGGACUUGGGUGUCUGCCAGACUUGUGCUGGCUCGCCUUAAAAGACUUAGUGGUAAUAACAUCCACGGCUAAGACGUAAUAAGUUUCGUCUUGUCAAGGUGUGACGACUGCUCAUAACCCGACCGCAAGGUCAUUAUUUUAUGCUCUGACCUCAAAUCAGGUAGGACUACCCGCUGAACUUAA